rnacentral:rRNA from 1 species
AGAGGGUGAAACUCCCGUCCGCCUGGUAGAAUGAGUCUUUGUCAACGAGUCGAGUUGUUUGGGAUUGCAGCUCUAAUUUGGUGGUAAAUUCCAUCUAAAGCUAAAUUUUGGUGGGAGACCGAUAGCGUACAAGUACCGUGAGGGAAAGAUGCAAAGAACUUUGAAAAGAGAGUUAAAGAGUACCUGGAAUUGCUGAAACGGAAGCGAAGGAAACCAGUGUUUGUUGGUUCAUAUUUCCUUGGCCACUUGUGGCUUGGGCGCUGUGAGCUUGCGUGGGUUUGGGUUGGUUGAUCCCUUUGGAAGAGCGCAGUCAGAGUUGAUGUCU